rnacentral:rRNA from 1 species
GUUGACCUCGGAUCAGGUAGGGAUACCCGCUGAACUUAAGCAUAUCAAUAAGCGGAGGAAAAGAAACCAACAGGGAUUGCCCUAGUAACGGCGAGUGAAGCGGCAACAGCUCAAAUUUGAAAUCUGGCGCAAGCCCGAGUUGUAAUUUGUAGAGGAUGCUUCUGGGUAGCGGCC